GUGCUUGCUUUGGCAGCACAUAUACUAAAAUUGGAAUGAUACAGAGAAGAUUAGCAUGGCUCCUAAACAAGGAUGACAUGCAAAUUCGUUAAGCAUUCCAUAUUUUU
ensembl:snRNA U6 U6 spliceosomal RNA